rnacentral:rRNA from 1 species
GACGAACGCUGGCAGCGUGCUUAACACAUGCAAGUCGAACGGAAAGGCCCUGCUUGCAGGGUACUCGAGUGGCGAACGGGUGAGUAACACGUGGGUGAUCUGCCCUGCACUUCGGGAUAAGCCUGGGAAACUGGGUCUAAUACCGGAUAGGAGCCAUUUUUAGUGUGAUGGUUGGAAAGUUUUUUCGGUGUAGGAUGAGCUCGCGGCCUAUCAGCUUGUUGGUGGGGUAAUGGCCUACCAAGGCGGCGACGGGUAGCCGGCCUGAGAGGGUGGACGGCCACAUUGGGACUGAGAUACGGCCCAGACUCCUACGGGAGGCAGCAGUGGGGAAUAUUGCACAAUGGGCGCAAGCCUGAUGCAGCGACGCCGCGUGGGGGAUGACGGCCUUCGGGUUGUAAACUCCUUUCGCUAGGGACGAAGCUUUUUGUGACGGUACCUAGAGAAGAAGCACCGGCUAACUACGUG